rnacentral:rRNA from 1 species
UACUUUGGUGGCGACCGGCGCACGGGUGCGUAACGCGUAUGCAACCUACCUUUAACAGGGGCAUAACACUGAGAAAUUGGUACUAAUUCCCCAUAACAUUCGAGAAGGCAUCUUCUUGGGUUAAAAACUCCGGUGGUUAAAGAUGGGCAUGCGUUGUAUUAGCUAGUUGGUGAGGUAACGGCUCACCAAGGCAACGAUACAUAGGGGGACUGAGAGGUUAACCCCCCCACAUUGGUACUGAGACACGGACCAAACUCCUACGGGAGGCAGCAG